GUAUAUUUUCAAUGAACACAAUUCAUCAUAUGUUCAAUGAAUACACGGUAAAAAUAUAGUAUGUAUUAUGCAUAUUCAAGUAAUUUGGUUCAUUUGUACAUAACUUUGAAGAGAAAUAAUUUCACAGCCCAAACCCGCCGAGAGUGGCACCCACACUAACCUACUAGCAGGAGAACCAACUAAUCUUAUAAAUUAUCCGACACUUAAAUAAAUGUCAUUAUACUAAAACUAAAAUAAAUUUCAAAAAAAGGGGAUGCAACCCUAAAUUUAAAGUAAUAUCUAAGUUUGGAAUAAUGGACUAGAGGAACAAGUGAAGAAUUCAUGUUAGCCCGAAAGAUGCAUCUCACCCUUGAGUUCAAAUAUGGUCUGAAUCAUAGCUGAGUUCUCAAAACCACUUC
rnacentral:lncRNA from 1 species